CCUGGCUGUGGGACCACGUUCCCUGGGAGCUUGUACUCACUGAAGCUGUCAGUACUUUGCAGGUGGGGUGGGGAGGACAAGCCUGGAAAGGACAAGUGCACAAGGCUGGGGAGGAUGCCCUUGGCAGUUCCUAGGACAACGUGUGCCAGCCCCGGGGAGCUGGGGACCCCUCAGAAUCCACCCAGAUACAUACAGGAAGAGGAAUCUGGGUCAAGAGCUCUGGUCAAGCGCGGUGGAGCCCAGCUGAGGCCAGGUCUAGCCCCAGUGUCUUUCCUACCCACUUUGUGUAUCUUUGAAGAUAGCCUUUUCGAGCCUGUCUAACCCUUGUCCUUGGGAUCUGGAUCUCUGAGGGGCUACAGAGCUGAAUGCUCUGCUGUGAAGUUGCACCAACUGAAGCAAACAUGAGACUCCAGCCCAGGCUUCCAGCCACCUUUUCAGCAGCACAGCAGAGAAGAACCUGUCCCAGUGCAUCUGCUGGAACUACCCAUCCCAGCCCCCCACUGCAACCCAAAAGGCCCAAAUGGCUUGUGCCCCUGGGGCAGGAGGUGGGGGACAUGAGAUGCUGAGGGGGCCUGUUCCAAGCACCCAGGGCCCAAAUCAGGUCAAAUAAGACCCUCUUUCUGGAAUCUCUAAGCUGCUGCCUUCACGAGCCUGGCCCCACCUCUGGGCAUGGCCGUCCGUGGCCUUUGACUCACUAGUCAGCAAGAACCUUGGGUCCCUGAGGGGAGGAAGGGCCCCCGCCCUUCCCAAAGGAAGGAAAAUGAUAGCCCCCCGGCUUCCGGCUUCCUCUGGCAGCGGGCCCCCUCCUCCAGCUCCAGCUCAGCUCUCUGCCCCCGGUUUUUGCAUUUUUAAUUCAGGACAGAAUGUGAUCUCUUGCAGCUCCUUGCUUUAUCCUGUUGCUAUUUAAAUUACAAAUCGGCCCCAUCUCCCUGUCACUCUUGGGUUAUUUUUAGCUUCUGGUAAAUAGCAGCAGGGAGAGUUGGAUCAGGUGCCCCUCCCUCGAGGAGCUUUGUACCCACAGUCCCAAGCCCACAGCAGGGGGCACCCUCCCCUGCCAGCUGGUACCCCAGCCACUCUGUGGGGGUGGAGAGGGCAGAGGGAGAACUGCAGUCUGGGACACGCGCGCAGGCUCAGUCCCGUUCUUAGCCUUUAUUGUACUCUGCCACCUCCAGGUCUCCAUCCAUCCAUCACUCAGAGGCCGCCUCCAAUUCCCAAGGAGGUCCAGCUAUAGAGGGCAGAAGAUUUGACUUGGGUCUCCCCUCCUCCCCAUAAGUCAGGAAGUUUACAUCUCUUAAUCUUCUUUCAUCUUCCCAGCCUCCCUCUGGUGCAGGUAUAACUGUUCCCACUUUCCAUAGAGGAAACAGGGUCAGAGGUGAAAGUGAUUUACCCAGCUAGGAAGAGGCAGAGCCAGAAUUUGAACCCAGGUUUUCUCUGACCCUGAAGAGUGCCUGCAGGUGAUCGCACUGUCUCAGCACAAUGCAUGUGCCUCUUUGCCCGGUGCCUGCAUUAAUUCCCAGUGCCCGCCAUGAGCUGCUUUCCCACGUGCUGGGUUGGCACACAUGGCGGAUGGGCCACAUCCGGCCUGCUGUGUGGUUUUUUUUAUAUGGCCGUGAGCUAAGAAUGGUUUUUUACAGUUUUAAAUGGUUGGGAAAAAGCAAAAUAAUAUUUGUGACAGAAAUGAUAUGUAAUUUAAAGUUCAGUGUCUAUAAAUAAAGUUUUACUGG
ensembl:lncRNA